rnacentral:rRNA from 1 species
AACGCUGGCGGCMUGCCUUACACAUGCAAGUCGAACGGUAACAGGUCUUCGGAUGCUGACGAGUGGCGAACGGGUGAGUAAUACAUCGGAACGUGCCCAGACGUGGGGGAUAACGAGGCGAAAGCUUUGCUAAUACCGCAUACGAUCUAAGGAUGAAAGCAGGGGACCGCAAGGCCUUGCGCGUUUGGAGCGGCCGAUGGCAGAUUAGGUAGUUGGUGGGAUAAAAGCUUACCAAGCCGACGAUCUGUAGCUGGUCUGAGAGGACGACCAGCCACACUGGGACUGAGACACGGCCCAGACUCCUACGGGAGGCAGCAGUGGGGAAUUUUGGACAAUGGGCGAAAGCCUGAUCCAGCAAUGCCGCGUGCAGGAUGAAGGCCUUCGGGUUGUAAACUGCUUUUGUACGGAACGAAAAGGCUCUGGCUAAUACCUGGGGCUCAUGACGGUACCGUAAGAAUAAGCACCGAGUCACC